UUCACUAAUGGAUGGAACAUCAGAUCCAAUAUCUAAUGGUCUUUUUCAAUCUUGUUAAGCUGCAUUCCUCAAUAAUAUACUGUGAUGGUGCAUUACACAGAGCGAAUAUAUUGUGUGGGUGGGGAAAGUAUUUCCUUUUAUCCACUUACAUCUGUUCCUGUAUAAAUGAGUUAUUCUUAAAAUGUGAUGUUUGAGUUCAUGGAAAUGAGAGGGAAAACUCUAAAGGAAAACUAAUUUGCUAUAGUAGGAAAACAAAAACAAAAGAAACCAGUACUGGAAGAUUAUGUAUUGCAUUCUGUAUUUAAAGAAAAUGUAACGGUGUAAUGUAUUUCUGGGAGAGACAGUAGUGCUUGUUGUUGUUUGCAGAAACUUUUUCCUUUUGAGUAGAAAUCAUCCUAUGCUUGGCUAAUUCCACCUCUGGAAAGGAUAGGCUAUGAAAAAGAUUAUUUUUCUUGAGAAGUUUAAGGAAAAAUUAUUCAGCUCUGAAAAAAUCUAAAUGUGAAGGGAAACAUUUUCUCCUUAUGUUCUGAAUGAAAUGUUUGCAAUCCAAAAUGACUGAAGCUGGAAAACAUUUACAUGCAAUAAUAUUGAGAUGAGGAUUGCAGCACAUCAGAAAAUUUAAACUUGUAAAGUUCGUGCUACAAUGUUAUCUUUGUUACAUGGAGCAUAUAAUAAGGUUGAAAUGUCUGUGUAUGGUUAUGUUUUUGUUCUAAAGCCAUGCCUGCUUUUCAUUUUACAGUCACUGGACAUUCUGCCAGAGUUCUAGUGCAUGCUGCACUUUGAGCUCGAACCUCAUCAGACAGCCACCUCCAAACCCAAAAACCUACCAUACCAUAAUAGAGGGUCAGUCAUCCAUAGCCUGGGGGAAAAGGGGAUGAUGCCUUCCUAGGAUACUAGGCUUUCCUUUGUACCCUAGACACUGUAUGUGAUCUGGAGGGAAUGUUCUUUUGAUCUUCAGCCAGAGAACUUAAAAAAGCAAAAAUCAGUCGUGCAAUAAUAUUUCUGCUCUGCAGUGAUUUGCUUGUUCAAUUUAUUUUUGAACAUUUUAAAUGGGAUGCCUAUUUUAAAGGUUGAGUCUCCAGUAAGAAUUAAAUGAUAGUAGCAGGCAAGAGAUAGUAGCCUCGCAUGUAGAAUGCCUUUGUCUCACUGAUCUCAAGGAAGACUGCACUGUAAAACUGUCCUUUGCCACCUUUAGCUUAUGUUGGGGCAGCAACUACAAUUGCCAAGAUGUUAAUGAUCAGGUUACAAAAAAUGGCUAGCUCUAGAAGGAUUAAUAGCUAAUUGUCACAGAGCACUGAGGUGCCCUGCUCCUAGAGAGGAAAAACUGCUAGAGGAAAAGCCCUAGCAGUGGCUAAGGAGCACAGCUGCGGGUUGCCAGGGCAACUGGAGGGAGCAAAUGACCCACACCUGCCAGCGGUCAGCUGCCGGUAGGAGGCAGAGCCUGGCUCUUAUAAAGCCCAGGAGCAGAGACCUGAAACAGUUCCCUGCCAGCAGCCAGAGAGGCAGGAGCUCCUGGAGUAGGGAUGCGAGAAGCAGCGAGACCCGCAGAGGCCUGGUCCAGCUCCACCGGUUCCCUGCAGCCCAGGGCCCAGGAUCCGAAUUCUACCAGCCAAGCCAGCCCUCUGUCACCAGGACCUGACAACCUAUCUGCCAAAGGAGAGGCCACUGCCCUGUGACCAGGAGCUGCCCACUGAGUCUCACAGACACCAGGGAUCAUCUGGCUGCACCACCUGCAGCAGGAGCAGCACACCCUGUGGGAGAGCUGGCAGGAGAAGGUGCUCUGGAUGGAGUGGGCAUGCCACUGGGAGGCUCAGGACAUCCACAAACAAGUCCUGCAGGAGCUCCACUACUUUUGCUGUGUCCAUGCCAUGGCCAUGGAGGAGGUGUGGGUCAGGAGGGUGGCCCUGGAGCACCCGGUCACCCAGAUCAAGGGGGAGUGGCAGCUAGUCCUGGAAUGCUUAGAGGAGAUGCACCAACUCUGGGCCUCUAUUGAUAUGGCCAUAGUGCAUGAGCUCAGGGUCACCAAACACUGAUGGCCUCCAUCCCUACCCCAGCCACUCCUGCCACUUUGCCUUGGACUCUGCCAGCCCCACCACAACCAUCUGCCUGCCCUCCCCGCCCCCGCCAGCCUUCACCCCAGCAAAGCCCAGCUGGUAGCAGGUUGGCUGAAUAAUGUCACAGCUGGCUCCCUAUCAGGCCCCACGGGCCCACUGUCCAUUAAGGGGCAUGGGUCCUACCUCCCCCUCUCCCAGGCCCAGGCCAACCUGCGGCGGCUGCUGCACAGGAGUGUCUACCCUUUUUCCCCAGAGUAGCCAGGCCCUGGGCCCCCACACAUGGGGUGGUCAGAUCCAGGCUUGAGGUCAGGGUCAGGGCUGCAAGACAGCCAACCCCUGAGCUGCUUAUCCCUAUGCCUUCUUCCCCUGAGUUUCUCCCACCCUUCCUGACCCUCUCUCAUUCCCCUGGGCCACAUCUCCACUGUUUUCAUUGCUUUCUGGUUUGUGGUGUGUUUGUGCAUGGCGGGGCCUGGGUGAAUGGUAUUUGGGUGGUAGAGGGUGUUGUGUGGGUUAUUGUGGGCAUGAUGCACUGCUGGUGUUCAGGACAUUUUGGGAAGCAAAGGGGAAUAAAAUUGUUCUUAUUUUCAACAUGGCCACACUGCUCAUGCUGUUGCGGUCCUGGCAGUGGGCAGGGAUGGAGGCCCCUGGGCAAGUGGCCUGGCACUGGUGGUGAGAGAUCCAGUGCCCUACUCAGAGAGGUGGGCCAGUAGGUGGGUGGUGAUGGUGUCCUGCACUCUGGCUCCCAUGUGCCACUGCUGGAAGGGGUGGUCCUCACCCAUUACCAGCUCUACAGCAGCUGCUGCUAGAUGCACUGUGAUACACAGCAAGCAUCUUCCAUCCACUGGGGCUCAAAGACCUCUCCCCAGGACUUGUACACAUUAUGCAGGACACAUGCUCUGGGAAUGGUUGCAUUGCGACGCUGCCUCAAGGCAGGUGGCAAGGCUACACCAGCGCCCCUUCAGCCAGCCAAAUACCCAUUGGAUGGUGCAUUGGCAACGGGCAUGGACCUCGUUGUAGCUCUGCUGCCAAGCAUCCAGAGGUCAUGGGAAAGGGCACAUCAUUCAGGGGAGAAACAGGUAUGCAGUAUUUACCAUGAUCAGUGGUGGGAUGGUGACAUCCCCAGUGAUCAGGGCUUGCAUCCAUGGGGAGGAGGUCCAUGCCUCCGUGAGUCCUGGAAGUGGUGAGUGGUGCAGCACAAGGGCAUCAUGGGCACUCCUAGUCCACCCAGUGUAAAUAUGGGCUAAGUGGCUGUGAUUGUCUAUGACCACUUCAAGACCCCCCAAGUGGGCAUCAUGGCAUUUGAAGAUGGGGAUGUGGGUCUCAUCAAAUGCCCCAACACAGCUGAGGAAUCCAAGGGCCACAAACCUGACCACUACCUUCCCAGGGUCAGCCAGUCAGAUGACCUAGUCCGCCAGGAUGUCCUGGAUAGCUUCACAAACAUCCAGAAUGGUUUAGCCAGUCAUGGACUUCCCCACCACCAGGGAGUGGACCAUGUAUCAGAGGCUGGUAGGCGUGGCCAGCUUCAGGAUGGCUAUGGCCACACACCUCUCUGGGGUGAGGGCUGAACACAUCAUGGUGUCUUUACACUUGAUGUUAGGGGCCACAUGGGCCACCAGGCACAUAAAUGCACCUUUCAACAUCCUGAAGGUCUGCAACCAGCAUCCAUCAUCCCAGGUGGGGAGGACUAUGUGCUUCCACCUAUGUUUACUAGUGGCCCAGGCCCAGGUGUGGCAGUGGAUGCAAGGGGCAAUGACAGGAUCUUCAUUGUCAUCCUCUUCCUUGCUUGGGUCUGGGCUGGCAGCAGCAGGGGCUGGGUGUGGUCCUCCCCAGGGCCAGCUAGUACUCACAGCCCUGAGUUAGGCAGCAGACUCUGACCCCAGACCAGGCUGUCUGGAUCCAGUGGUGCUGCUGUGCAGUCACGGUCUGCUGGCAGAUGGCCCAGAGGAGCAGGCAGGUUUGGUGCAGUCCCCGUACCACAGCCCAGGUGGCCGUACAGUUCACAUCCAGGUCUGGCAGGUGUGCAGCCAAAGGGCCACAGGUUCAAGGGGGUGGAUGCUGUCGCAGGUUGCAGCAGGUCACAGCCAAGCAACAGUCUCUGCUGCCAGACUGCUGCAGCAGGUACAGGGACCACUCUAGGUCAGGGUUGCUGCAGCAGUCCAGCUGACACGGGGCUAGUGUCCCAGAUAUCAACUGGCCAGGCCUCAGAAGCUCCCAAGUGUAAGUAGCCCUGAGCUGCUUACCAGGGCAGCUUUUUAUACUGUUGGAGCCAGCAUGGGUACUGGCCCCAGCCUCUAGCUCCCCUUGGCUGUAGAUCUGGGCGGAGCUGGGCAGGGUCAAUUUGCCCCAAGCAGCACAAUUUGCCCUACCCCAAAGUGCAUGUUAAGGCAUGUGUGGUGAGGCACAAAUCUCUGGCACAAAUUUGUGCCUGUUAUUUGAGCUGCUGCAGCCGCACAUGACUGCAUGUGUGGACGUGCCCCAGGAGUCUUGAUGUCCAGACAGUAGGCCUGUGCGAAUCAGCAGCAAUCCGAUCUGGCUUCGGAUCCAGCUGCUUCAGAUGGCUGUGAUCUGAUCCGGAGCUCCAGACCAGGUUUCUGCCUCGAUCUGGCCGAAGCGGCUCCAAAGCUUUGGAGCUGCCGUGGAGAUCCAGCCAUAGGGCAUAAUGGGGAAUCAAUGAAAUAUCUAGAACUUUGUUGUUCCUUGUCCAAUUUGAAUGAAGCUUGCAGGGAUGGUGGCCUCUGCUGAACCCUGCCAAGUUUCAAGCUGAGAGCAUUAACCCUGCCAAGUUUCAAGAAGAUCUGUGUAGGGGUUUGGGGGGAACUGUGCUUGAAAUUCUUGAAAGCCAAACUCAUGUCAUGACUGUGUGUUACACCACAGGGAGGUCAAAACUGCAGGGGUGGUAGCUCUCACUGAGGCCACAAAGCCUGCCAAGUUUCAAGAAGAUUGGUGCAUGGGUUUGGGGGGAACUGCAUCUCAAGCUGCGGACAAGCAAAACUCAUGCCGUGGGUGACACUGCGUGUGUUAAGGUGUAGCGGGGUGCAAGCUGCAGGGAUGGUGGCCCCUGCUGUGAUGCCUGCCAGCUGUGGAGGAGAUCAGUGCAGAGGGGUUCUGGGGCCCUGCAACCCUAGCUGCUAACAGACAAAACUCGUGCCAAGACUUGUGUCUGUCUUGCGGCAGUUGAUUGUCUGUAUUGAGUCUUUCCUCUCCUUAGCCUGGUUUUGUAGGUGCUAAUUGAUGCGCCUUAAGUGGUUAUGUAGUAGCUAGGUCCUGUGUAUUGAGCUGGUCCCUGAGUCCCUGGUCCCUGAGUGAAUCAUGAUUGAUUGGUAAAUGGUAACACAGCAGCUUAGCAGCCAGGCCUGCAGCAGUGUCUCCCUCCCUGCCCCAAGACAGAGACAGUCAGUCCCAUAAGCACCCAUGGCACAAGUUUUGCGUGUCUGCAGCUUGAGGGCCAGUUCC